rnacentral:rRNA from 1 species
UACGUAGGGUGCGAGCGUUGUCCGGAAUUACUGGGCGUAAAGAGCUCGUCGGUGGUUUGUCGCGUUGUUCGUGAAAUCUCACGGCUUAACUGUGAGCGUGCGGGCGAUACGGGCAGACUAGAGUACUGCAGGGGAGACUGGAAUUCCUGGUGUAGCGGUGGAAUGCGCAGAUAUCAGGAGGAACACCGGUGGCGAAGGCGGGUCUCUGGGCAGUAACUGACGCUGAGGAGCGAAAGCGUGGGGAGCGAACAGG